rnacentral:tRNA from 1 species
GCCGGGAGCGGCUGAGGCUUCCGCUUUGGGAGCGGAGGGUCGCAGGUUCAAAUCCUGUCACCCCGACA